GCUCGAUCUGGGGCACAUCACGGGUCCUACCCGAGACCCGUUCGGAUACCCGAAGAACCCGCAAAUAAUUGUAUAUACUAGGCAUAUUUGGGUGAUUGGGUAUAUUUUUGGUAUUUCGGAUUUUUUUAAAAGUUCUGAGUUUGGAUUUUCGGGUAUAAUUGUAGGUUUCGAGUAAAAUUUUAGAUUUUUAGAAAAUAUAAUUCGGGUAAAAUUCGAGUAUGUUUUGGGUUUUUGGGUUUGAUUUUGGAUACAUUUUUGGGUAUUUUUGCGGUUUUUCGGGUAUUUUUAGAGUUUUCGGGUCCAAUUCGAGUAUUUCAGGUCUAUUUCGGGUCCUAAAUAC
rnacentral:lncRNA from 1 species